CUCGUAGGUGGCCAACUAAGUCAGACGUGAAAUCCCUCAGCUUAACUGGGGAACUGCGUCUGAUACUGGAUGGCUUGAGUUUGGGAGAGGGACGCGGAAUUCCAGGUGUAGCGGUGAAAUGCGUAGAUAUCUGGAGGAACACCGGUGGCGAAGGCGGCGUCCUGGACCAACACUGACACUGAGGAGCGAAAGCCAGGGGAGCAAACG
rnacentral:rRNA from 1 species